CUCUCGGCAACGGAUAUCUCGGCUCUCGCAUCGAUGAAGAACGUAGCGAAAUGCGAUACUUGGUGUGAAUUGCAGAAUCCCGUGAACCAUCGAGUCUUUGAACGCAAGUUGCGCCCGAAGCCUUCCGGCCGAGGGCACGUCUGCCUGGGUGUCACGCAACGUC
rnacentral:rRNA from 1 species